GAUGAACGCUGGCGGCGUGCCUAAUACAUGCAAGUCGAGCGAAUGGAUUGAGAGCUUGCUCUUAUGAAGUUAGCGGCGGACGGGUGAGUAACACGUGGGUAACCUGCCCAUAAGACUGGGAUAACUCCGGGAAACCGGGGCUAAUACCGGAUAACAUUUUGAACCGCAUGGUUCGAAAUUGAAAGGCGGCUUCGGCUGUCACUUAUGGAUGGACCCGCGUCGCAUUAGCUAGUUGGUGAGGUAACGGCUCACCAAGGCAACGAUGCGUAGGCGACCGGGGAGGGUGAUCGGCCACACUGGGACGGAGACACGGCCAAGACUCCGACGGGAGGCAGCAGUAGGGGAUCUUCCGCAAUGGACGAAAGUCUGACGGAGCAACGCCGCGUGAGUGAUGAAGGCUUUCGGGUCGUAAAACUCUGUUGUUAGGGAAGAACAAGUGCUAGUUGAAUAAGCUGGCACCUUGACGGUACCUAACCAGAAAGCCACGGCUAACUACGUGCCAGCCGCCGCCGUAA
rnacentral:rRNA from 1 species